UUCAUGUGAAGAGAGAAAGAGAGAGAAUGAAAACACAAAGUGAUCACUCAAGCGCCACGUGAUGUACUUCGAACACCAAGAUGGAAUUGUACCCUUGUAAAUUGCUAUGGCUCAUUCAUCACCUUCUGCUCCUUGAAUCCUUCACCAGCUGCUCAACUGUAGACUAAACAAGCCACAUGGAGCAGGAAAAGAAGUUUGCUAAAGGGCAGCUGCUGCAGCAUUUUGAAGGCAGAGAACAAAAGUAUUGGAUACCAUAAGAACCGAUUCUCACAUAGUCACUUGCCGACAAAAAGCAGGGCUUUAAGAGAAAAGCCUCAAUAUCCUGGGACUCACAAGAGAGAUGGCAAGACUGUUCUAGCUGCAGUUCCAGCAGCAUCAGAGGGAAAUUCUUCUGUGUAACAAAUAUCAACCUCUGUUCGGGGCCAGAAGAAUGAGCUCUG